CCGGACUGACUGCUAUCGGAUUGGUACUAAGCCAUGCGAGUCAUUGUAGCAAUACAAGGCGGACGGCUCAGUAACACGUAGUCAACCUAACCUAUGGACGUGGAUAACCUCGGGAAACUGAGAAUAAACCGCGAUAGAUCAUUAUGCCUGGAAUGGCUUAUGGUUCAAACAAUUUAUUGCCGUAGGAUGGGACUGCGGCCUAUCAGCUUGUUGGUGAGGUAAUGGCCCACCAAGGCUAUAACAGGUACGGGCUCUGAGAGGAGAAGCCCGGAGAUGGGUACUGAGACACGGACCCAGGCCCUAUGGGGCGCAGCAGGCGAGAAACCUUAGCAAUGUGCGAAAGCACGACUAGGUUAAUCCGAGUGAUUCCUGUUGAAGGAAUCUUUUGUCAGUCGUAAAACCACAGACGAAUAAGGGGUGGGCAAGUCUGGUGUCAGCCGCCGCGGUAAUACCAGCACCUCGAGUGGUCAGGAGGUUUAUUGGGCCUAAAGCAUCCGUAGCCGGCUUUGCAAGUCUCCGGUUAAAUCCAGCUGCUCAACAGAUGGGCUGCCGGAGAUACUACACAGCUAGGGAGCGGGAGAGGCAGACGGUAUUCUGUGGGUAGGGGUAAAAUCCAUUGAUCCGUAGAGGACCACCAGUGGCGAAGGCGGUCUGCCAGAACGCGUUCGACGGUGAGGGAUGAAAGCUGGGGGAGCAAACCGGAUUAGAUACCCGGGUAGUCCCAGCUGUAAACGAUGCAAACUCGGUGAUGCAUUGGCUUAUGGCCAAUGCAGUGCCGCAGGGAAGCCGUUAAGUUUGCCGCCUGGGAAGUACGGACGCAAGUCUGAAACUUAAAGGAAUUGGCGGGGGAGCACCACAAGGGGUGAAGCCUGCGGUUCAAUUGGAGUCAACGCCGGA
rnacentral:rRNA from 1 species